AUUGAACGCUGGCGGCAGGCCUAACACAUGCAAGUCGAGCGGAUGAGAAGAGCUUGCUCUUCGAUUCAGCGGCGGACGGGUGAGUAAUGCCUAGGAAUCUGCCUGGUAGUGGGGGACAACGUUUCGAAAGGAGCGCUAAUACCGCAUACGUCCUACGGGAGAAAGCAGGGGACCUUCGGGCCUUGCGCUAUCAGAUGAGCCUAGGUCGGAUUAGCUAGUUGGUGAGGUAAUGGCUCACCAAGGCGACGAUCCGUAACUGGUCUGAGAGGAUGAUCAGUCACACUGGAACUGAGACACGGUCCAGACUCCUACGGGAGGCAGCAGUGGGGAAUAUUGGACAAUGGGCGAAAGCCUGAUCCAGCCAUGCCGCGUGUGUGAAGAAGGUCUUCGGAUUGUAAAGCACUUUAAGUUGGGAGGAAGGGCAGUAAGUUAAUACCUUGCUGUUUUGACGUUACCGACAGAAUAAGCACCGGCUAACUCUGUGCCAGCAGCCGCGGUAACAC
rnacentral:rRNA from 1 species